rnacentral:lncRNA from 1 species
UCCUGGCUAGACCUGCGCGCAGUGCGCACCCCGGCUGACGUGCAAGGGAGCUCGCUGGCCUCUCUGUGCCCUUGUUUGUCCGUGAAAUUCUGGCUGAGUCUCUCCCCCCACCUUCCGACGCUGUCUAGGCAAAGCCUGGAGUAGAGUUGCAUCUCCUGGAUGAUCAGUUCAGAGAUAUGUCACAAUGCCCCCUCCCUGUGGAUCCUAGAGAAGAUUUGCACCAUUUGGGUGAUCAGUGCAGAGAUAUGUCACAAUGUCCCCUGUAGAAAAAGCCUGGAAAUGAUUUACAUCACCUCGGUGAUCAGUGCAGAUGUGUGUCAGAUCUCCCUAGUAGGCUGAACCUAGACAAGGGUUACAUCACUUAGGUGAUCAGUGUAGAGGUAUGUGAAAAUUCCCGUGUAGACAGAGCCUAGACAAUUGUUACAUCACCUAGUGAUCAGUGCAGGGAUAAGUCAUAAAGCCUCCUGUAGGCAGAGCGUAGACAAGAGUUCCCUCCCCAGGGUGAUCAGUGCAGAGAUGUGUCACAAAGCCCCUGUAGGCAGAGCGUAGACAAGAGUUCCCUCCCCAGGGUGAUCAGUGCAGAGAUGUGUCACAAAGCCCCUGUAGGCAGAGCCUAGACAAGAGUUUCAUCACUUGGUUGAUCAGUUCAGAGAUGUGUCACAAUGUCCAUGUAGGCAGAUCUAAGACAAGGGUCCAUCACCUGGGUGAUCAGUGCAGAGAUAUGUACCAAUGUGCCCUGUAGGCAGUGCCUAGACAAGAGUUGAAUCACCUCAGAGAUCAGUGCAUAGAUAUGUCACAAAGCCUUCUGUAGGCAAAGCCCAUACAAGGUUUACAUCACCUAGGUGAUCAGUGCAGUGAUAUGUCACAAAAAUCCCUGUAGACAGAGCCUAGACAAGAGUUACAUCACCUGGGUGAUCAGUGCAGAUAUUUGACACAAUGCCCCCAUAGACAGAGCCUAGACAAGACUUCCAUCACCUGGGUGAUCAGUGCAGAGAUAUGUCACAAAUCCCCCUCUAGGCAGAGUAUAGAGAAGAGUCCCAUCACCUGGGUGAUCAGUGCAGAGAUAUUUCACAAUGCCCCCUGUAGGCAGAGAGUGGACAAAAGUUACAUAACCUAGAUGAUCUGUGCAGAGCUAUGUCAAAACGCCCCUGUAGGCAGAGCCUAGAUGAGUGUUACAUCACCUGGGUGAUCACUGCAGAGAUACGUCACAAUACCCCCUGUAGGUGGGGCCUAGACAAGAGUUACAUCACCUGGGUGAUCAGUGGAGAUAUCUGUCACAAUUCGCCUUUAGGCGCAGCUUAGACAAGCGUUACAUCACAUGAGUGAUCAGUGCAGAGAUAUGUCACUAUGCCCCCAUAGGCAGAUCCAAGACAAGAGUCCAUCACCUGGGUGAUCAGUGCAGAAAUAUGCCACAAUGCCACCAGUAGACAGAUAUAGACAAGAGUUACAUCACCUGCGUGAUCACUGCAGAGAUAUGUCACAAUGCCCCUGUAGGCAGAGCCUAGACAAGAGUCCCAUCACCUGGGUGAUCAGUGCAGAGUUAUGUCACAAUGCCCCCUUUUGGCAGAGCCUAGACAAGGGUUACAUCACCUGGGUGAUCAGUGCAGAGAUAUGUCACAAUGUCCCUGUAGCCAUAUCCUUGACAAAAGUGACAUCACCUGGGUGAUCAGUGCGGAGAUAUGUCACAAUGUCUCCAGUAGGCAGAGCCUAAACAAGAGUUACAUCACCUCUGUGAUCAGUGCAGAGAUACGUCACAAUGCCCCUGUAGGCAGAGCCUAGACAAGAGUUACAUAACCCAGGUGAUCCGUGCAGAGUGAUGUCACAACGCCCUCUGUAGGCAGAGACUAGAAAAGAGUUACAUUACCUGGGUGAUCUGUGCAGAGAUAUGUCACAAUGUACCCUGUAGGCAGAGCACAGAGAAGAGUUGCAUCACCUGGGUGAUCAGUGCAGAGAUAUGUCACAAUGUCCCCUGUAGGCAAAGCCUAGGCAAGAGUUACAUCACCUUUGUCAUCAGUUCAGGGAUAUGUGAAAACGCCCCUGCAGGCAGAGCUUAGACAAGAGUUACAUCACCUAGUUGAUCAGUGCAGAGAUAUUUCACAAUACCUCCUGUAGGCAGAUCCUAGUCAAGAGUUGCAUCACCUGGGUGAUCAGUGCAGAGAUAUUUCACAACGCCCCCUGUAGGCAGAGGGUAGACAAGAGUUACAUCACCUAGGUGAUCAGUGCAGAGAUUUGUCGAAAUUCCCUGUAGGCAGUGCUUAUAAAAGUGUUACAUCACCUAAGUGAUCAGUGCAGAGAUAUGUCACAAAGCUCCUGUAGGCAGAGCUUAGAUGAGUUACAUCACCUGGGUGAUCAGAGCAAAGGUAUGUCACAAAGCCCCCUGUAGGCCAAAGCCUAGACAAUAGUUACAUCACUUGGGUGAUCAGUGGCGAGAUCUCUCACAAUUCCCCUGUAGGCAGAGCUUAUACAACAGUUACAUCACCUGGGUGAUCAGUGCAGAUAUAUGUCACAAUGCCCCCAUAGGCAGAUCCAAGACAAGAGUCCGUCUCCUGGGUGAUCAGUGCAGAAAUACGUCACAAUGCCCCCUUAGGCAGAGCCUAGACAAAAGCCCCAUCACCUGGAUGAUUAGUGCAGAGUUAUGUCACAAAGUCCCUUUAGGCAGAUCCUAGACAAGAGUCCCAUUACUUGGGUGAUCAGUGCAGAGAUAUGUCACAAUGCCACUGUAGGCAGAGCCUAGACAAGAGUUACAUGACCUAGGUGAUCAGUGCAGAGAUACAUCGCAAUGCCCCUGUAGGCAGAGCCUUGACAAGUGGUACAUCACCUGGGUGAUCAUUGCAGGGAUAUGUCACAAAGCACCCUGUAGGCAGAUCCUAGAGAAGAGUUAUAUCACCUGGGUGAUCAGUGCAGAGAUAUGUCACAAGCCCCCUGUAGGCAGAGCCUAGACAAGAGUUAUAUCACCUGGGUGAUCAGUGCAGUCAUAUGUCACAAUGCUGUGUAGCCAGAGCCUAGACAAAAGUUACAGCACCUGGGAGAUCAGUGCAGAGAUAUGUCACAAUGUCCCCAGUAGGCAGAGACCAGGCAAGAGUUGGAUCACCUCGGGAUCAGUGCAGAGAUAUGUCUCAAUCCCCCUGUGGGCACAGCCUAGACAAGAGUUACAUCACCUCGGUUAACAGUGCAGAGAUAUGUCAAAAUGCCCCUGUAGGCAGAGCCUACACAAGUAUUACAUCACUUAGGUGAUCAGUGCAGAGAUAUGUCACAAUACCCCCUGUAAGCAGAGCCUAGACAAGAGUUACAUCACCUGGGUGAUCAGUGCAGACAUAUGUGACAAGGCCCCUUUAAGCAGAGCCUAGACAAUAGUUACAUCACCUGAGUGAUCAGUGCAGAGAUCUGUCACAAUGCCCCUUUAGGCAGAGCUUAGACCAGAGUUACAUCACCUGGGUGAUCAGUGCAGAGGUAUGUCACAUUGCCCCCAUAGGCAAAUCCAAGACAAGAGUCAGUCACCUGGGUGAUCACUGCAGAAAUAUGUGACAAUGCCCCCAGUAGGCAGAACCUAGAGAAGAGUCCCUUCACCUGGGUGAUCAGUGCAGAGUUAUGCCACAAUGCCCCCUGUAGGCAGAGCCUAGACAAGAGUUACAUCAUCUGGUUGAUCAGUAAAGAGAUAUUUCUCAAUGCCCCUGCAGGCAGAGCGUAAGCAAGAGUUACAUCACCUAGAUGAUCAGUGCAGAGAUACGUCACAAGGCCCCCUAUAGGCAGAGCCUGGACAAGAGUUACAUCACCUCGGUGAUCAAUGCAGUGAUAUGUCACUGUGCCCCGUAGGCAGAGCCUAGUCAAGCGUUACAUCACCUGGGUGAUCAGUGCAGAGAUAUGUCAGAAAGCCCCCAUACACAGAGCCUAGACAAGAGUCCCAUCACCUGGGUGAUCAGUGCAGAAAUAUGUCACAAUGCCCCUAUAGGCAGAUCCAACACAAGUGUUACAUCACCUGGGUGAUCAGUGCAGAAAUAUGUCUCAAUGCCCCCAUAGGCAGAUCCAACACAAGAGUUACAUCACCUGGGUGAUCAGUGUAGAGAUAUGUCACAAUGCCCCCGUAGACAGAGCCUAGACAAAAGUCCCAUCACCUGGGUGAUCAGUGCAGAGAUAUGUCACAAAGCCCCUGUAGGCAGAGCCUAGACAAGAGUUACAUCACUUUGUUGAUCAGUUCAGAGAUGUGUCACAAUGCCCAUGUAGGCAGAGCCUAGACAAGUGUUCCAUCACCUGGGUGAUCAGUGCAGAGAUAUGUGACAAGGCCCCUUUAAGCAGAGCCUAGACAAUAGUUACAUCACCUGAGUGAUCAAUGCAGUGAUAUGUCACUAUGCCCCAGUAGGCAGAGCCUAGUCAAGCGUUACAUCACCUGAGUGAUCAGUGCAGAGAUAUGUCACAAAGCCCCCAUACACAGAGCCUAGACAACAGUCCCAUCCCCUGGGUGAUCAGUGCAGAAAUAUGUCACAAUGCCCCCAUAGGCAGAUCCAACACAAGAGUUACAUCACCUGGGUGAUCAGUGUAGAGAUAUGUCACAAUGCCCCCAUAGGCAGAGCCUAGAGGAGAGUUACAUCAUCUGGGUGAUCUUUGCAGAGAUAUGUCACAAUCCUCCAAGUAAGCAGAGCCUAGACAAAAGUUACAUCAUCUGGGCGAUCAGUGCAGAGACAAGUCACAAAACCCACAUAGGAAAAGACUAGACAAGAGUUACAUCAUCUGGGUCAUCAGUGCAGACAUAUGUCAAAGCUGCCGUAGGCAGAGUGUAGACAAGUAUUACAUCACUUGGGUGAUCAGUGCAGAGAUCUAUCACAGUGCCCCCAUAGGCAGAGCCUAGACAAGAGUUCCAUCACCUGUGUGAUCAGUGUAGAGAUAUGUCACAAUGCCUCCUGUAGGCAGAGGCUAGACAAGAGUUACAUCACCUGGAUUUUGUUUCCUGCAAUAUGUCACAAUGGCGAGGGUGAGGGUUAGGGUUAGGGUGAGGGUCAGGGUGAGGGUCAGGGUGAGGGUCAGGGUGAGGGUGAGGGUCAGGGUGAGGGUGAGGGUUAGGGUUAGGGUGAGCAUUAGGUUUAGGGUUAGGGUUAGGGUUAGGGGUUAGGCUUAGGCUUAGGGUAAGGCUUAGGGUUCAGGUUCAAGUUUGGAUUCGGGUUCGGGUUCAGGUUAAGAGUUAGGGUUAGGGUUACGGGUUAGGGUUAGGGGUUAGGGUUAGGUGUUAGGGCUGGGUUAGGUUUAGGGUUAGGGUUAUGGGUUACGGUUAGGGUUAGGGUUUAGGGUUAGGGUUAGGGUUAGGAUUGGGGUUAGGUUUAGGGUUAGGGUUAGGGUUAGGUUUAGGGUUGGGUUAGGGUUAGGAUUGGG